AAUUUUUGCUCUCUCCACUCAUCGCCUUUUACCUUGCACCCUAUAAUCUCUGCAAAAUCCAUCCCCCAAAUAUCCACUUGCCCGGAAAAUGAGUUCCAUCAAACUGGACAACGAAAAAAAUUUCUCACCAUCCAAGCAAUUCCCAGAACUCACUCUCCAAGCCUUAACCGGGCUCCAAAACCAUUGCUCUGCUUUCCUCCAAAACCUCUCCGAAUUCCCUCUCUUUAAUCCCAACCCCUCUUGCUUCCAAACCCACCUUCAAACCUCUCUCUGCAACCUUCAAAACCUCCCAAAACAUGUAAUCGACAAUACAAUUUCUCGCUUCAACCCAAAUCCUCCCUCUUCAUCCAAAAACCCACUCUGGGCUCGAAUUUCUCAGGAUUCCAAGACCCAAUUCGAGCCAGUUCGCCAAUCUCGUACUUCUCUGUCAACUGAAACCAUUGAAGAGAGAUUGGCAGGCGUGCCUGUGUAUGCUUUGAGCAAUUCCAAUGAAGAAUUUGUGUUGGUUUCUGGGGUUUCCACUGGGAAGUCUCUGGGGUUGCUUUGCUUCAAGAAGGAAGAUGCUGAGGCGCUUCUUGAGCAAAUGAAGAGCAUGGACCCUGGAAUGAGAAAAAGUGGGUCUAAGGUGGUUCCGGUUGCUUUAAACAAGGUUUUUCAGCUAAAGGUUGAUGGGGUGGCAUUUAGGUUGAUACCAGAGGCAUCUCAAGUCAGGAAUGCCCUUAGCGAGAGGGAAAAGGCUGGAUUUUCUGAUGAUGGCUUCUCUGGGGUUCCAGUUUUCCAGUCAAGAAGUUUGGUAUUGAGAAGCCAAAACAAGAGAUACCGUCCUGUAUUCUUUCGAAAGGAGGAUUUAGAAAAAUCUCUAAGGCGGGCUUCACGCCAGCAGAAAAAAUUAAAUCCUGCAUUUAGGCAGGGGGAUAUUCAGGUAUGGUUUUUGAUGCCUCUAUGUUGGCAAGCUUCAUCCUUUUCACAAUAUGUUGUCCUUUGUUUUGUAGGUUGCCGUUUUUGAAGAAAUAAUUAAGUCUAUGAAGGAUAGUUCUACUUCAACCUGGGAUGAUGUUGUUUUCAUCCCUCCCGGUUUCGACGUUUCAACUGAUCCUGCCCAGCAAUAGGAAGCUGCAAAUGAGUAGGUAAGACUUUUUGGACAAUCACUUGUCUAGUGUGUAUAUUCAACCAUGCAUUUGGGGCAACCAAGUGGAGCAGAGAAUUGCAUGUAUGUGCCUCAUAUAGAAACCUGAAAAGCAAUUUAAACUUGUUAUUUUCUCUUUAUACACCUUCAAUUACUCUCUUUCUAGCUGUGAUUUGACAUGAACUUGAUUAAUUAGGCAUUUGCGAGUUAAAUUUAGUAUCAAAACCUUACCUGGUGAGAGAAACUUGCUUUGAAACAAUCAGUAAUGCUGGCCUUUCAUUUAAAAACCAUUCAACUUGUCAUUUGAAAUUAGCUUAUUUGCAUCUCAUUAAGAAUGCUGGUCAUGAGUUUGUGAUGGCAAAUGAAAAUUCCUUGGGGCAUCCUUUCUUAAUUAUGCUGUUCCCCUGUGCUGGUUUAUGAGGAAUAAAAAAAAAUAAAAAUAAUCAAUGUUUGAGAUUGGAAAUUUUCGAUCUAAUGGUGAAAAGAUCUACAAUUAUUUUGGUACAAUUAGUUACCACUAAUACUGGGAUUCGAAAUUUUACUGCUCUAAAGGCGAUUUUAAUAACUUGUUUGUAAAAGAUGUAUCAAAAAAUAUGCAUGUACAUAUAUUGAUGGAUGAUGAUUUUUAAUGCUAUUUUUUUUUUGGUCAAAAAUAUAAAUCAGAGGCAAUAAUAUUACCAGGAAUCAUUGCAGGCUAGUCGGUUAGUCUUAAUUUCACAGUUGGGUAAAAUGGCUGUUAGAUUAAAGUAGCAGCAGCUCAUGGUAGCUGGAGUAGUGGGUGCAUGGGAUGUAGUAAUGUAGGAGAGUUGAAAGAGACAGAAGAUAAUCCAAGACAAUAAUAUCGAUGGAAAAUAAUUAUUAAUUUAAGAUAUAAAUAUGUGAUUGUUAUCUUUUUUAUAUAUGAUUACACAAUAUAAUCAAUGCAAAUUAGUGAGUUAAUCUUAAUUUCAAGUUGAAUAAAAAUGGCCUUUGGUUUUAAGUAUUUACAGCUCAUGGCAGCUAGAAUAUUGGGUGCAUGGGAUAGUAUCGCAGGGAAAGUAGGAGAGAGACAGAACAGAUAAUGGAAGUGGAGUUGAAAGAAGGGAGGAUCAUGGAAAAUAAGACUUUUUCCUUUCAAAGAUAAUAAUUUAUUAGAAGGCCUGUUAAAGGUAGAGAAUACAUCUUAAAAAGCCCUAAAUCUUUUUAAGGAUCUUAACUAUAAUUACCAGAGGCCCAAUACAAGAAUUACAAAUGAAGCUCAAUCCGGAUCCCCAGCCCCACUCCAGCAAAUCUGGGGCACACCAACAACGGAUAGAAAAUCCGUUGCAGAUAUCCGCCAACAACACGGGUCACACUUAAGGGAGUCGUUCAGCAAGAAGAAACUCGAAGAAAAAGAGUCUCCGUCAACUAAACAUCACAAUAGUAGCCAAAAAAGGAAAACUAAUAAUAGUGAAGAGCAGUCAAGCCAUGAGGUCAAGAAAAAAAAAAAACCAAGGGGAAGAAGCCAAAGGAGAAGCAGAGCUCCAUGUCUCACUCUUUUUUAGCAGCGGUGGCGGUACAAGGAUGGCCAACUUUUUAAACCCUAGAGAUGCAGCCUCCACCUUAGCAUCAGAGACUUCCUCCACCCAUAGUACUCAAAUGGUUCAAGUAUUCACAGCUCAUGGCAACAGCUAGAAUGGUGGGUGCAUCGGAUAAUGUAGCAAGGAAAGUAGGAGAAAGAGACAGAAGAGAAAAAUGAAAUGGAGUUUUCUCCGUACAACAAUGAUCUGAACUUAAUCCAAAUUAGAAAAUUAAUGUUUGAACAUAAGCUGCCCAUACUUCCAUCAUCCACAUUCUUCGCCAAUCGCGACUCAGUGCUCCCUUCUCCUGGGGAAUUAUUUAUCAGAAAUCGGCGUUGUAUAUCACAUUUGGCGUGGAGUUUCAGAGCGGCUGAAACUAGGUUGUGGACAAUAUCCUUUUACAUGUUACGAGAG
rnacentral:misc_RNA from 1 species